AUUGAACGCUGGCGGCAGGCUUAACACAUGCAAGUCGAGCGGGGAAAGGUAGCUUGCUACCUGACCUAGCGGCGGACGGGUGAGUAAUGCUUAGGAAUCUGCCUAUUAGUGGGGGACAACAUUCCGAAAGGAAUGCUAAUACCGCAUACGCCCUACGGGGGAAAGCAGGGGAUCUUCGGACCUUGCGCUAAUAGAUGAGCCUAAGUCAGAUUAGAUAGGUGGAGGGGUAAAGGCCUACCAAGGCGACGAUCUGUAGCGGGUCUGAGAGGAUGGUCCGCCACACAGGGACUGAGACACGGCCCUGACUCCUACGGGAGGCAGCAGUGGGGAAUAUUGGACAAUGGGCGAAAGCCUGAUCCAGCCAUGCCGCGUGUGUGAAGAAGGCCUUUUGGUUGUAAAGCACUUUAAGCGAAGAGGAGGCUACCGAGAUUAAUACUCUUGGAUAGUGGACGUUACUCGCAGAAUAAGCACCGGCUAACUCUGUGCCAGCAGCCGCCGCAG
rnacentral:rRNA from 1 species